AGACAAUACCUGCAUGAGUAGUGAGCUAACCUAGUAUUUUUCGUUGGCAUAUCAUCUCUUCAUCUUUCCACUAAGUUUUCACUGUUUGCUUGGUUUUUUAUCUCCAGGAAAAAAGCAGGAAUUCAACCCAGUUUGCUACAGAGAGAAAAGGAAGAAGUUGAAUGAACUAUUAUUUUUCUAAAAUAAACUACUGAAAACAGAAAUGGAAGACAGAAAAGUGGGAAAUAGAUCAGGCCAUUUAAAAAGUCAGAGAGGAAAAAAAYCAGGAAUAAUAGAGAAAAUUAAAGGAGAAAGCUUGGUGAAAGAGGUGAUGGGAAAGUAGAAUAAAGUAGCAAUAAAGAGAUUAUGAGAGGUAGUAACAAAGAGAAAGAGAUAUAGAAAAAUAAUCAUGGGCACGAAUGAAAGAAAAAAUAAAAGAAUAUAAAACCAAAUAAAAACAGGAGAUGGAAGGAGAACUAGACAGGAAACAGGAAAAUGUGGGAAGGAAAGAAGAGAGUUGUAUGGAGAUAUAGAGUGGCAAUGCCUUUUUUCCUCUCAUCUUUAAAACAAUCUUCAAGAUUUUUUUAGCCAAGAAGGAGCAUUAAUGAGGACCAUAAAAAAUGUUUAAAACAUGUAAUAUGUGUUUGAAAAUGCAAUGCAGAUAUUAGCAGCAGCCCCUACCGAGGAGAUCCCCACCAAGCGUGGCAGGCUCAGUGUGGGCACUGACAUCCCUAAAUGGUUCAGAAUUCCAAUCCCUGCUUCCAGCAGGUGCAUGUUUACCCUUCUUGUGGUGUAUUUUACAGAACAAAUGGCCAGCUGGGGUUGUUAGGCUGUUCUGUAGGGCUGCAGAAGGUUGCAAACAAUCCUAACAUUUGAUAUUCUGGCUUUGCUGGGGAGACCCACCUCUGUAGUGACAAGGUGUGUCAAAGUGAACCAGACAGCAAGCUAUCAGAUGUGGGAAGCCACCAUAAGAGGGACUCUUUUCCCUCCAUUUUAAAGCUCAUAUUUUCAUGUCAGAAGCCUAGCACUUGGUGUGGUCACUGCAUCAAAGUGUUUUCUGUAGCAAGUUUUAAUGAGUAGUAUUUAGAAAUGUGGAUUAUAAGCUCUUCAGUGAGCRUGAGCUGGUGAGCAAAUUUUGUGCUGAACUGUGCUGCAAUGAGACUCCUGCCCAGGAGUGGAGCCACCAGUGACAGAUUUUUUUUGUAUAGGCAGAGCAGAAUCCAUCACAGAACAAUGAGGGUCACACCUGCAGCCAAAGGGAGGGACAAAUCCUGGACAGGUUUUGCUGAGCAUUAGUUGCCUUUGACUUCCAAGGGGCAGUGGCCAGGAGAAACUGAGUUUUUAUGGGUUGAAAUACAAACAUCUGGUUUUAUCUCCAUCAAAUCUGAGAGACUUAUACUUUUCCUUCUGUUUUUUAAAAAAUUUUGAAGGCUCUCAAGACUUAGACUCCCAGGUACCUGCUCCAGGCUACAGCAGCCAGUGGAAAUACCAACACCAGCAUCAUGACGAGAUGAUGGAGUCAAAAGGACUGCUUUGCUUCUGCUGUAUGUAUCUUGGAGCUGGAUUUUUCUAUGAAGUCUGUGGAAGCUUGUUACCAUGUUAAAUGCCCAGCUUUCAUUAAAUCCACACCUGAAGACCAUGUGAAUUUUCAGCCCACUCAACUCUCUUCUGAGGUACCUACUACUCACCGCUUUUGUUUCAGCAUCCGAGAAAUUCAAGGGUCRUCUUGACUUCUGCAUUAUUGACGACAGCAAACCCCUGUUCAGGAUCCAGGAGGAAUCCUUCACCGCCAGCCUAAGCAGAGCGUCGGUGACAGCCGCCGAAAUGCCUUGAUCACACACUCCCAGCACCCUGCCCGCCAGCAGCAGGAGGAAAGUCCAGUCWAUGUUAAUAAGGUGCAGAGAGAGGCCAAAAUAUUUUGUGAAUUUUCCGGCUCAAAAGGGUAAUGAAGCUACCUCUGUCUCARUGCACUGGCAUGGGAGCAAACUAAACAACUGGGAAAUAUGUUUCAAAGGAGAAAUACCGAGCACAAACUCCCUGGGUUUCACACUUCCACUGGGGGCUGAGCUUUGCCUCUUUCCACCUUAUUUUUCCAGGCURG